rnacentral:rRNA from 1 species
CUUGGUGAUUAUGGCGUAGGGGAACCACCCGAUUCCAUUCCGAACUCGGACGUGAAAACCUAUCGCGCCGAUGAUACUGCGUCUUAAGACGUGGGAAAGUAGGUCGUUGCCAAGC